GACGAGCCUCACAAACGUUAUUCGGAAUUACUGGGCUUAAAGGGUGCGUAGGCGGCGCGGAAAGUUGGGUGUGAAAUCCCUCAGCUUAACUGAGGAAGGGCGCCCAAAACUACCGUGCUCGAGGGAGAUAGAGGAGUGCGGAACUUAGGGUGGAGCGGUGAAAUGCGUAGAUAUCAAGAGGAGCACCUGCGGCGAAGGCGGGUUGCUGGGCUGACACUGACGCUGAGGCGCGAAAGCUAGGGGAGCGAACGGG
rnacentral:rRNA from 1 species